rnacentral:rRNA from 1 species
UACAGAGGGGGCAAGCGUUGUUCGGAAUUACUGGGCGUAAAGGGCGCGUAGGCGGCCGCCUAAGUCAGACGUGAAAUCCCUCGGCUCAACCGGGGAACUGCGUCUGAUACUGGGUGGCUUGAAUCCGGGAGAGGGAUGCGGAAUUCCAGGUGUAGCGGUGAAAUGCGUAGAGAUCGGGAGGAACACCCGUGGCGAAGGCGGCUCACUGGGCUGACCUUGACGCUGAGGCGCGAAGGCGUGGGGAGCGAACGGG